AACGUAGGAGACAAACGUUAUCCGGAGUUACUGGGCGUAAAGGGCGUGUAGGCGGUUAGUUAAGUCUGGCGUGAAAGCUCUCGGCUAAACCGGGAGAGGUCGUUGGAUACUGGCUGACUAGAGGACGGUAGAGGCGUGUGGAAUUCCGGGUGUAGUGGUGAAAUGCGUAGAGAUCCGGAGGAACACCAGUGGCGAAGGCGACACGCUGGGCCGUACCUGACGCUAAGCGCGACAGCAUGGGGAGCAAACGGG
rnacentral:rRNA from 1 species